UCUGUUCUAUACACUAUACCAACUGGUGGAUAACUUGGUUCCAAACACUGAUGAAGGACGUAGCAAGUUGCGAUAAGUCCUGGCGAGGCACAAGCGGCCAUUGAACUAGGAAUUUCCGAAUGCGACAUCGUGUUAUUUUCGAAUAACAUUCCGAAAGGAAGAAUAACCCACUGAAUUGAAGCAUCUUAGUAAGUGGAGGAAAAGAAAGCAAAUGCGAUUGGGUAAGUAAAGGCGAUCGAAAACCCAACAGGGCAAAUCGAAUCCUCUCCGAAAGGAAGAGGAGAUGUGAUGUCUGGGUACAACUUCGUUAGUUUAUUAGAAAUCUGCUGGAACGCAGUACCGUAGAGGGUGAUAGUCCCGUAUAAGAAAACUAAAAAGUUGAUUCCAGUCAAAGAGUACCAUUCCUUGGAUAUGGAGUGGGAAUAUGGGAGGCAUCAACUCCUAACCCUAAAUAUGUUUGGAGUCCGAUAGUGAAUAAGUAAGGUGACUGAACGUUGAAAAGUAUUUCUAACCGAAGGUUAAAAGAUCUUGAAACCAGUUGGAACUAGUCUUUCAUGGCAUGAAAGGUGUCUUCUCGAAGGAAAACCUCGUGAGGGGUGUGUACGAGAGAAGACUUACAGUGUCAUGAUUUCCGUUUCGAAAUUAGUUUAAGUGUUGACAACCCAAUUUCUUAGUUUUCACACUGAUAGUGAAAAUGAAUUUAGUAAUUUUAUAAUUUUAAUAAAUUGAUUGGAUUUAAACAUCCAAUGAAGGUUAAGAAGUUGGCAACAUUUUUCUAACGAGAUACACGGGGCAGGGAGUUUAUUUCUGUGGCAAGGGUAACCUGUUAAGCGGGGUACCCUAAGCGAAAGCGACAAGCGCGUAGCUUCGGCAUGGCGCGUCCUCUGAAAGGGGGAGUAGUCACAGGGAUAGUACCAGAAAGGAGGUGAUCUAUACCUGGAUAGGAUGAAGCGUGGCGAAAGCCGCGUGGAGGUCCGCUAUCGUUGUUGCUUCUAAGCACUCGAGUGAUCUGGGCAUAGGGGUGAAAAGCCAAUCGAACCUCCUGAUAGCUGGUUCCUUCAGAAAUGUGUCUUAGCACAGCCUCAUCUGAGAUAGUUGGCGGGGUAAAGCACUGAUUGGGAAAUUAAGGAAAGAAAUUUCCAGUUUCGCUGUCAAACUAAUAAUCUGUCAACAUCGUAGAAGAUGGGAGUGAGAGUACCGGGGUAAGCUUGGUGCUCAAAAGGGGAACAACCCAGAGUAAGGUUAAGGUCCCAAAUUCUCAAUUAAGUCAAGAAAGUGGUAGUAAUCCAAAAACAGGCGGGCGGUAGGCUUAGAAGCAGCCAUCCGAUAAUCAACGCGUAACAGCGGACCGUUCGAGGAUUAUUGCGCUGAAGAUGGACGGGUGUAAAUUGAGAACCGAUACCUUACAAAUAGAAAUAUAUUAGGUAUGAAGGUGUUCUGCAUGGGCAGAAGUAUCUACGUAAGUAGAUAUGGACCGUGCAGAAAUAAGAAUCCUGCUGGUAGUAACAGCAAAGUCAGGUUAGAACCCUGACCGCCUGAAAGGCAAGGUUUUCUCGGCAAUGACUAUCAGCCGAGAGUUAGUUGAUCCUAACCCAACCCUUAACUGAAGUUGGGGAAAGGGAAACCGGUUAAUAUUCCGGUACCACAGACAUACGUGUGGCAACACAAGUCCUAUUACAGACACUUUAGAGAUAGCUUAACGUAAGCUAAGCAUUGAAAUCCAGGGAGUUCUGUCAAAGAGAGAACUGGACGAAGGUGUGAAUGGUUUUCCUGUAUAGGAGAAUUUAAGCAAUUCCUAGAGUCCGUGAAAAUGUAAUGGAAAGGAUUGUCUGUGAUCAUACUCAGAACCGACACAGGUGACCCUUGCUGAAAAGGCAAUGGCGUGUCAGGUAAUGCCACUUUAGGGAAUUCGGCAAUAUUGGCCCUGUAUCUUAGGUAUAAGGGGUGUCUAUGUAGAAGUACAUAGAUCGCAGUAACCAGAGGAAAGCGACUGUUUAACAAAAACGUAGCUGGCUGCUAAUGAGAAAUCAUUUGUAUAGCCAGUGAGGCCUGCUCAGUGCGAGUGUGUUAAAACUGGUUUCAACCGGUCCAAGCCCUCGUAAACAGCGGCGGUAACUCUGACCGUCUUAAGGUAGCGUAAUCCCUUGUCGUUUAAUUGACGACCCGCAUGAAUGGCUUAACGACUUUCCUGCUGUCCCAAGGUGGUGCCUGGCGAACCUGCUAUUGUGGUGCAUAGGCCACAGACCCUCAGAGGGAAUUGGAAUAAGUAUUAGAUAUUCAAUUUCAGCUUUCUUAUUCUCUUUUUUUAACGAGUUAAGAAAAGUAGAUAAGGAAGCUUCCCUAAAUUAGACCAUGAAAAGUAAAACUUUUUAUCAAAUAGCUUUUAGUCAAUAUGACAAGAAAAUAAAUGUUAAAAUACCAAAACUGAAUAAUAAACUUCUUGCAUAUGAAAUAGGAGUUCAUUUGGGAGAUGGAUCAAUGCAAAUAGUUCCUAAGAAAACACACUCAGUUAGAUACUGGGGAGAUUCAAAUGAGGAUUGGUUAUUUGUAUCAGAAGUACUUCCAAAAAUUAUUAAAGAACUCUAUAAUAAAAAUGUUAUUGCAAGAAAGUGCAAUGAUUCGAACAAGUGUGUUCUUUCAGUUUGUUCAAAAGCGAUUGCAACAUUUAAGAGAGAUAUAAUUGGUUUACCAGCUGGAAAUAAGAAACAAAUUAAAGGUUUACCAAAAUUUGUAAAAAAGAAUAGAAACCUCCUAAUAAAUUGUUUAAGAGGUAUUGGAGAUACUGAUUUUGGUUUAUACUUUCAUAGAGAUGGAACUCCUGGAUUAGCUUGUAUAAUGAGUAAUAAAGAUUUAAUUGAAGAUAUUGGUCAAGAAAUUAGAAAUUUAGGGAUUGACGCGAAAAUUAAAUUUGAUAUAAUAAGAAUGCGAAAAGGUAAACAAAAUAUUGAACAUCAUGUUAAAAUAUAUUGUAAGAAAAAUCUUGAAAAAUGGAUGAAAAUUAUAAGUUUUGAGAAUCCUAAACAUUUAACAAAAUAUUUGUGCUGGAAACAUCUUAAUUUUUCUAAAAACAGAACAACUGUUAAACAAAGAACAAUUAUGCUUGAAGAAGCUGGUAUUUUUCCAACCUCAUAGAGAAGACCCCGUGGAGCUCUGCGGCAGCCUGUCGUUGUUAUACGGUAAUGGUUGCAUAGCGUAAGUAGGAGCUGCUACGCUAACAGUUCCGGCUGUUAGAUAGGCAACAAUGUAACACUACUCUUCCAUGACUGCAUAACUAACCUCGACUCGGGGGACACCGAUUGGUGGGCCGCUCGGCUGGGGCGGUACGCCCAUGACAGGAUAUCAUGGGUGCUCAAAGUUGAUCUCAGUCCGGUCAGAAAUCGGACGUAGAGUGCAAGCGCAAAAGAUCGAUUGACUGGAUUUUUAAAAGUAUGGAAUCCAGAUGCGAAAGCAUGAGCUAGCGAAACGCCGAGCUGUUCUUGAUGGAUAUCGGUGACUUCAGAAAAGCUACCCCGGGGAUAAUGGAGUCGUGGCGGGCGAGAGUUCCUAAUUGAGCCUUAAGUUGGCAAAACGAGAGGUGCAAUGAGCAAAUCGACAUAUAAUUCGGGUUUUUUAAUUCCUACUAAAGCUGGUAAUGAUCGUAAUCAUGUCGAUUAAGAGAAUCAGUUUUGUUUAGAUGUAGCUAUUGUUAAUAGUUGCAUAUAAUAAAUGUAGGUAUACCUAUUUUAUACGAGAUCCCGCGCAUUGCUUCUCCGCUGUCGGCUUCCCCCCUCCUGGCUGCGCAGCAGCAGCCAAGGGUACAGGUGUUCACUGGUUAAAGGGGGACAUUAGCUGGGUUCAGUACGUCGUGAUUCAGACGUGAAGGGUUUUCAUAGUUUUCCGUAUCUCAGAUGAUCUAUGGAGAAAUAGCUAUGGCUAUCAAUGAUAAUAGAUUACCAGGUACGGUACAUUUUGGUAAUGAUUGGACCGCCCCAAUGCGAUUCCUGAAACUUAUUUAGUUUCGCGAGCGGAGUAGCUUAUGAACCAACCUCUAAAAGUAUUCGUUGCAAUGACUAGACCUCAGACUGUCUAAACGAGCAACAAUGAAAACUUCCCUUUACACUGGACGACAUAGACAGUACGGUUUAUAUCUUCUGAGGGUGUCCAGUUACCUGACCCGAAGAAUGUGCAAGUACGAAAGGAACGCCCAUUCGUGGCCUCUGGUCUACCAGUUAUCUUUUGGUAAUGCUGGUCAGCUACGCCAUGAUCUUUAAGAGCUGAAGGCAUCUAAGCUCGAAAUGACUGGGGAAAAUAGGUAAAUAGCGCUUGUAAAAGACAAGUUUGAUAGAACAGGGGUGUAAGUACCAAGCUUCGGCGAGGUAUUCAGCUCACUGUUACUAAAGCUUUUGUUUUGAACAGA
rnacentral:rRNA from 1 species